rnacentral:rRNA from 1 species
GCUUUUUGAAUUUUACUAAGACAAGAAGUCGUACCUGCCCUGUGAAUUGUGAUUAUUUUAACGGCUGCAGUGGUCCUGUACUAAGGUAGCACAAUGAUUUGCCCUUUAAUUGGGGGAGAGAAUGAAUGGUCUGACGCGGAGAUACUGUCUUUAAUAUAAUUAAUUAAUUUCUUUUUUGAGUGAAAAAACUUAAAUAUUUGUAAAAGACGAGAAGACCCUAUCGAACUUAAUUAAGAGUUAUAUAGUUUUAUUGAAUUCUGAAUUUUUGUUGGGGCAACAUAAAACUAAAAACGUUUUUUAGAUUAAAUGUGAUCCUUUAUGAAGGCCGUAAGCAAAAGUUACCGUAGGGAUAACAGCGUAAUAUUUUUUUGAAAGAUCUUAUUAAGGAAAGAGUGUGCGACCUCGAUGUUGAAUUAAAGAAACUCUAUGGUUGUAGAAGCUAUAGGAAGUGAAACUGUUCGUUUUUUAAUUCUUU